ACCCUGAUCCAGCCAUGCCGCGUGAGUGAAGAAGGCCUUCGGGUUGUAAAGCUCUUUCGGCCGGGAAAAAAUCGCAUAGGUUAAUACCCUGUGUGGAUGAUGGUACCGGAAUAAGAAGCACCGGCUAACUACGUGCCAGCAGCCGCGGUAAUAAU
rnacentral:rRNA from 1 species